rnacentral:rRNA from 1 species
AUUAGCGGAUGACUUGUGGCUGGGGGUGAAAGGCCAAUCAAACCGGGAGAUAGCUGGUUCUCCCCGAAAGCUAUUUAGGUAGCGCCUCGUGAAUUCAUCUCCGGGGGUAGAGCACUGUUUCGGCAAGGGGGUCAUCCCGACUUACCAACCCGAUGCAAACUGCGAAUACCGGAGAAUGUUAUCACGGGAGACACACGGCGGGUGCUAACGUCCGUCGUGAAGAGGGAAACAACCCAGACCGCCAGCUAAGGUCCCAAAGUCAUGGUUAAGUGGGAAACGAUGUGGGAAGGCCCAGACAGCCAGGAUGUUGGCUUAGAAGCAGCCAUCAUUUAAAGAAAGCGUAAUAGCUCACUGGUCGAGUCGGCCUGCGCGGAAGAUGUAACGGGGCUAAACCAUGCACCGAAGCUGCGGCAGCGACACUAUGUGUUGUUGGGUAGGGGAGCGUUCUGUAAGCCUGUGAAGGUGUACUGUGAGGUAUGCUGGAGGUAUCAGAAGUGCGAAUGCUGACAUAAGUAACGAUAAAGCGGGUGAAAAGCCCGCUCGCCGGAAGACCAAGGGUUCCUGUCCAACGUUAAUCGGGGCAGGGUGAGUCGACCCCUAAGGCGAGGCCGAAAGGCGUAGUCGAUGGGAAACAGGUUAAUAUUCCUGUACUUGGUGUUACUGCGAAGGGGGGACGGAGAAGGCUAUGUUGGCCGGGCGACGGUUGUCCCGGUUUAAGCGUGUAGGCUGGUUUUCCAGGCAAAUCCGGAAAACUAAGGCUGAGGCGUGAUGACGAGGCACUACGGUGCUGAAGCAACAAAUGCCCUGCUUCCAGGAAAAGCCUCUAAGCAUCAGGUAACAUCAAAUCGUACCCCAAACCGACACAGGUGGUCAGGUAGAGAAUACCAAGGCGCUUGAGAGAACUCGGGUGAAGGAACUAGGCAAAAUGGUGCCGUAACUUCGGGAGAAGGCACGCUGAUAUGUAGGUGAAGUCCCUCGCGGAUGGAGCUGAAAUCAGUCGAAGAUACCAGCUGGCUGCAACUGUUUAUUAAAAACACAGCACUGUGCAAACACGAAAGUGGACGUAUACGGUGUGACGCCUGCCCGGUGCCGGAAGGUUAAUUGAUGGGGUCAGCGCAAGCGAAGCUCUUGAUCGAAGCCCCGGUAAACGGCGGCCGUAACUAUAACGGUCCUAAGGUAGCGAAAUUCCUUGUCGGGUAAGUUCCGACCUGCACGAAUGGCGUAAUGAUGGCCAGGCUGUCUCCACCCGAGACUCAGUGAAAUUGAACUCGCUGUGAAGAUGCAGUGUACCCGCGGCAAGACGGAAAGACCCCGUGAACCUUUACUAUAGCUUGACACUGAACAUUGAGCCUUGAUGUGUAGGAUAGGUGGGAGGCUUUGAAGUGUGGACGCCAGUCUGCAUGGAGCCGACCUUGAAAUACCACCCUUUAAUGUUUGAUGUUCUAACGUUGACCCGUAAUCCGGGUUGCGGACAGUGUCUGGUGGGUAGUUUGACUGGGGCGGUCUCCUCCUAAAGAGUAACGGAGGAGCACGAAGGUUGGCUAAUCCUGGUCGGACAUCAGGAGGUUAGUGCAAUGGCAUAAGCCAGCUUGACUGCGAGCGUGACGGCGCGAGCAGGUGCGAAAGCAGGUCAUAGUGAUCCGGUGGUUCUGAAUGGAAGGGCCAUCGCUCAACGGAUAAAAGGUACUCCGGGGAUAACAGGCUGAUACCGCCCAAGAGUUCAUAUCGACGGCGGUGUUUGGCACCUCGAUGUCGGCUCAUCACAUCCUGGGGCUGAAGUAGGUCCCAAGGGUAUGGCUGUUCGCCAUUUAAAGUGGUACGCGAGCUGGGUUUAGAACGUCGUGAGACAGUUCGGUCCCUAUCUGCCGUGGGCGCUGGAGAACUGAGGGGGGCUGCUCCUAGUACGAGAGGACCGGAGUGGACGCAUCACUGGUGUUCGGGUUGUCAUGCCAAUGGCACUGCCCGGUAGCUAAAUGCGGAAGAGAUAAGUGCUGAAAGCAUCUAAGCACGAAACUUGCCCCGAGAUGAGUUCUCCCUGACUCCUUGAGAGUCCUGAAGGAACGUUGAAGACGACGACGUUGAUAGGCCGGGUGUGUAAGCGCAGCGAUGCGUUGAGCUAACCGGUACUAAUGAACCGUGAGGCUUAACCUUACAACGCCGAAGGUGUUU